rnacentral:rRNA from 1 species
AACGCGAAGAACCUUACCUGGUCUUGACAUCCACGGAAGUUUUCAGAGAUGAGAAUGUGCCUUCGGGAACCGUGAGACAGCUGCUGCAUGGCUGUCGUCAGCUCGUGUUGUGAAAUGUUGGGUUAAGUCCCGCAACGAGCGCAACCCUUAUCCUUUGUUGCCAGCGGUCCGGCCGGGAACUCAAAGGAGACUGCCAGUGAUAAACUGGAGGAAGGUGGGGAUGACGUCAAGUCAUCGUGGCCCUUACGACCAGGGCUACACACGUGCUACAAUGGCGCAUACAAAGAGAAGCGACCUCGCGAGAGCAAGCGGACCUCAUAAAGUGCGUCGUAGUCCGGAUUGGAGUCUGCAACUCGACUCCAUGAAGUCGGAAUCGCUAGUAAUCGUGGAUCAGAAUGCCACGGUGAAUACGUUCCCGGGUCUUGUACACACGC